GGGGAAUAUUGGACAAUGGGCGCAAGCCUGAUCCAGCCAUGCCGCGUGGGUGAAGAAGGCCUUCGGGUUGUAAAGCCCUUUUGUUGGGAAAGAAAAGCUUCCGGUUAAUACCCGGGAGUCAUGACGGUACGCAAAGAAUAAGCACCGGCUAACUUCGUGCCAGCAGCCGCGGUAAUCCAGAGGGGGCAAGCGUUGUUCGGAAUUACUGGGCGUAAAGGGCGCGUAGGCGGCCUGCUAAGUCGAACGUGAAAUCCCUGGGCUCAACCCAGGAACUGCGUCCGAUACUGGUUGGCUUGAAUCCGGGAGAGGGAUGUGGAAUUCCAGGUGUAGCGGUGAAAUGCGUAGAUAUCUGGAGGAACACCGGUGGCGAAGGCGACAUCCUGGACCGGUAUUGACGCUGAGGCGCGAAAGCCAGGGGAGCAAA
rnacentral:rRNA from 1 species